CCCUCUAGAUGGGGACAACAGCUGGAAACGGCUGCUAAUACCGAAUACGUUCUUUCUGUCGCAUGGCAGAAGGAAGAAAGGGAGGCUCUUCGGAGCUUUCGCUGGAGGAGGGGCUUGCGUCUGAUUAGCUAGUUGGAGGGGUAACGGCCCACCAAGGCGACGAUCAGUAGCCGGUCUGAGAGGAUGAACGGCCACAUUGGGACUGAGACACGGCCCAGACUCCUACGGGAGGCAGCAGUGGGGAAUCUUCCGCAAUGGACGAAAGUCUGACGGAGCAACGCCGCGUGAACGAUGACGGCCUUCGGGUUGUAAAGUUCUGUUAUACGGGACGAAUGGUACGACGGCCAAUACCCGUCGUAAGUGACGGUACCGUAAGAGAAAGCCACGGCUAACUACGUGCCAGCAGCCGCGGUAAUACGUAGGUGGCAAGCGUUGUCCGGAAUUAUUGGGCGUAAAGCGCGCGCAGGCGGCCUUUUAAGUCCAUCUUAAAAGCGUGGGGCUCAACCCCAUGAGGGGAUGGAAACU
rnacentral:rRNA from 1 species